rnacentral:SRP_RNA from 1 species
CCUAUAUUGCAGGAUGUCGGUGAAUCGUGUCAGGUCGGGAACGAAGCAGCACUAAGUCGAAAGUUUCUGGGUUUGUAGGGUAGCUUUU